rnacentral:lncRNA from 1 species
AAAAUCUAAAAUGCUUCACACAUUAAAAAUCCCUUUUCUACAGAUCCUAAACCCUAAAAACUCCAAAACACUCUAAAAUUCUCCUGCAACUCUUUAAGUUUGAGUUUCACGUUCUCCUUUGGAAGCAUAGUCCUUGGUUAAGGCUGACGAUGCUCGACUUUCUCGGUAAGUUCCUCAAUUUCUAGAGCCAUUUUUCCAUAUUUCAAUCGUUUUCGCUUGUUGUACUCUAUGUUUAGUGGCUGGGAGAAUUAGGACGAUUUUUCUCUUUUGCAUUUCUGCUGAGUUUCUACUUAUUCCGUUUAUUUUACAAAUAGGCUGGUCGAAACAGUUUCAAUUUGAUUCAAUUCUUCUUCUGUUCGAUUAGUAAUUUUGGUUUUGGGAUUGUUUGGUAUUUUUGUUCUUUUUUUCAAAAUUAAAGCUUCAAUUCAUUUGCAUGACUCUUUACCUGUGAUUUGAAAUGAGUUCCGCUUCAAAGAUUCUAAGCAACAUGAUUUUGGGGACAUUGCUUUCUAUAAUAGAAAUUUUUUUGAAUUUCUUAAUUAUUUCAACAACAACAACAAUACAGUAUAAUCCCACUUAGUGGGGUCUGGGGAGGGUAGUGUGUACGCAUACGUUACCCCUACGUAGGGUAGAGAGGCUGUUUCUAAAUAAACUCCGACAUCCUUCCCUUCAAGAACUUACCACCUUGCUCUUGGGGAGACUCGAACUCACAACCUCUCGGUUGGAAGUGGGGGUUGCUUACCAUCAGAGCAACCCCUUUUGUCUACAAUUUCUAAAUUAUUUCAUUAUUCAUAAAAAAACUUGGAGCUUGUGUAGUGCACCUAUACAUCAAUAAGUGUAAUAACUGAAGGUCCUAAGCUUUGUCGACUUAUUCAGGGUUAGAUUUUCUUGUAAUAGAAAUAAUGAAGUUGCAACUUUAAGAUUGCAGUAAUCUGUAGUCAUUGGCUCAUAGUCUUCUUUGUGAGAUUGGAAGCUAGGAAUCAAUUUUUUCAUUUCUCUACUUGACCAGUAAUUUCAAUUGUAUUAAUAAUGCUUUAAGCUUCUUGAUUAUCCGUGCCAUCUUCCUUCAGCAAGGUGGGCAUGAUCUUAAACUUAUUCUCAAUGUUUAAUAACAGGUUAAUCACAAAGUGAAAGAAGUUGUAAGUGUCUAGUAAUAAUGUACAGUCUUAGCAUCAUUUUCAGGUGAGAAGUUCAAACUUCAAGGACCAAUCUUUUUUUCUCCUUUUUGUGAUCUCUGAAUUCUAGAAGCUUCUUCUCCCUCUCUCAAUGGCGGAUCAGCUGACCGAUGACCAGAUCUCUGAGUUUUAGGAGGCUUUCAGCCUAUUCGACGAGGACGACGAUGGUUCGAUUCAAUUUCUCUUCUUCAUUAAAUUGCAUUAUAUGUAAUUUUUUGUUAAUAUGUUUGUCUCCGUACAUUUGGGCCAAAUUAUCUCUCUUUAUAGCUACUCGUUUUGUGAUUUCAACUUGCUUUAAAUGGUAGUUGCAGUUUAGAGGUCUUUAUCAUAAUUGAAUGAGCAGAUUUGUCUGUAUUAAUCUAAGUAUUUAAAAUGGUAUUUUAAAACUUUAAUAAAACAUGAAUCUUUCUAGAAAUCAUCUAUCAGAAAUAAGAUUUUGCAAAUAGUGAUCUAAAAUUUGAGCACCAAAGGUGUGACCUUGCAGUAAAUGAAGUAGGUGAUAAUCUUGGAGACUAGUAUUAUCCCAGCGGAAAAAAAAUCCUAGGUGAUUUCUUUCCAUAAAUACCUAAGAAAAAAUGGUUUGAAGAAAUAUAAACCAUUUUGCUUUCUGGUGUUGUUUCCGAAAAUGACCAAAUAAUUGUCUGUCUUGUGUUCUUAUUUGAUUUAAUUUUUAUGGGUUGAUAGGGAUGAAGUGGAGGUGAGAAGAAAUUUUUUGGUCGGAUGAAGAGCUAUAGUUUGUAUAAUGUGUAUGAUGGUGUUUUAAUCGGAGUUCCAGCUGUUGCAUGUAUUGACUGUAUUUUUUAAUCAGUUACUACUAAGAAUUGGUUUUGCUUCUGCAACAUAUUUGGUUCUUGUUUUAGAUGUACAAGUAAUAUUACUAUAGAAAUGUAUGCAAAUAAUGUGUAGCAGAAAGAUGCAAAUAUACUAGAGGAUUCAUUUGUUUUGCCUAAUUUUCUAUUAUGGUAUUUCUUUGUUCUUUUUGAAUUUACUUAUUAGAUUUACUGUUGAUAUUGGGAGAUAGCAUGGUAAGUGAGAUGUAUCUUCUUGAUUUUGGCAUAAUUUGAAGUCCUUGAAAGGGACAUUGGUUUUUGUAGUUGAAUUUCUGUGUAGUUCUCCCCUCCCCUGAAUUUUGCUUUCUGAGUUAUCUGAUGUGGUUAACUUUGCAUUUUGAUUUCUUUUGCAAUUAUGAACAUAGACAAGAGGGGUUGCUAUGAUGGUAAUAAACUUCCACUUCCAACCAAGAGGUUGUCAGUUCGAGUCUCCUCCUCAAGAGCAAGGCAAGAAGUUUUUGGAGGGAAGGAUGCUGAUGGUCUAUUUGGAAACAGCCUCUUUACCCAAGGGUAAGGGUAAGGUCUGCGUACACACUACCCUCCCUAGAUCCCAUUAGGUGAGAUUAUACUGGGUUGUUGUUAUUAACUAUAGUAAUCAUAUUUAUUCAGUUGUACAUUACAGAUGUAUGGUCUCAAACUUUGCAAAGUUGGCUAGUUCUACAUUCAUCAAAAUAUCUUAUUCAAAUAAAAUACAAGGGAUGGUAAACUUGCUAAGCUGCAGGCUUAAAAGUUUAGAGUUUGGUGUUUUCUUAAACCAAAAUUUGUUAAUAAUCUAUUUGGUUUUGAUUACGGGGAUGAUUUUUAUAUACGCGUUUACACAUAUAUGUAUUGUUCUUGUAUACGCUUGGACUUAUGAGUUGAACAUUUUUUCAAGUGGGUUAUAUCUCUGUUAGAUUUGAAUUAUUUCGACAGAAAAUCUAUUAAACCUAUUUCGCCAUGAUAGUAUCUCUAAUAAGAAUCUAUUUUAUACUUUCUACAGGUUUGAAGACUUGAGUUUGCAAAUCAAGAUGCAAAGCUUUAAAGCUUCAUAGAAGUCAGCAAAUUGGUCAUCAUUUUGUUAAGAUAGUUAGGCAAAGAUUUUAUUUUUUGAUCAAAUGAUGUGAGAACAGUGCUGUGAAGUAUGUAUCACGACUAUACCUUGUUACUUGUGGGAUGUUAAUAUAUUUUUGUAAUUAGUUACAAAUUAUAUAUAUGAAGCUAAGGCUUAACUACGAGUUUAAUUUUUUCUUUCUUCAUUUAAAUUAUCUAUAUUGGAAUAAUUUUUUUAAAAGUAUGA